GAACGCUGGCGGCGUGCCUAAUACAUGCAAGUCGAGCGGAUGACGGGGAGCUUGCUCCCCUGAUUCAGCGGCGGACGGGUGAGUAACACGUGGGCAACCUGCCUGUAAGAUCGGGAUAACUCCGGGAAACCGGGGCUAAUACCGGAUGGUUCCUUCCUCCGCAUGGAGGAAGGCGGAAAGACGGUUUCGGCUGUCACUUACAGAUGGGCCCGCGGCGCAUUAGCUAGUUGGUGGGGUAAUGGCCCACCAAGGCAACGAUGCGUAGCCGACCUGAGAGGGUGAUCGGCCACACUGGGACUGAGACACGGCCCAGACUCCUACGGGAGGCAGCAGUAGGGAAUCUUCCGCAAUGGACGAAAGUCUGACGGAGCAACGCCGCGUGAGCGAAGAAGGCCUUCGGGUCGUAAAGCUCUGUUGUAAGGGAAGAACAAGCGCCGGUUAACUGCCGGUGCCCUGACGGUACCUUACCAGAAAGCCACGGCUAACUACGUGCCAGCAGCCGCGGUAAUACGUAGGUGGCAAGCGUUGUCCGGAAUNAUUGGGCGUAAAGCGCGCGCAGGCGGUUUCUUAAGUCUGAUGUGAAAGCCCACGGCUCAACCGUGGAGGGUCAUUGGAAACUGGGAGACUUGAGUGCAGAAGAGGAAAGCGGAAUUCCACGUGUAGCGGUGAAAUGCGUAGAGAUGUGGAGGAACACCAGUGGCGAAGGCGGCUUUCUGGUCUGUAACUGACGCUGAGGCNCGAAAGCGUGGGGGAGCAAACAGGGAUUAGAUACCCNUGGUAGUNCCACGCCGUAAACNAUGAGUGCUAGGUGUNAGGGGGUUUCCGCCCCUUNAGUGCUGCAGCUAACGGCAUUAAGCACUCCGCCUGGGGGAGUACNGGCCGCANNGCUGAAACUNAAAGGAAAUUGACGGGGACCCGNANAAGCNGNGGAANCAUGUGGNUUAANUCGAAGCAACCCGAAAA
rnacentral:rRNA from 1 species